UGGGGAAUAUUGGACAAUGGGCGCAAGCCUGAUCCAGCCAUGCCGCGUGUGUGAAGAAGGCCUUUCGGUUGUAAAGCACUUUAAGCGAGGAGGAGGCUACUUGGAUUAAUACUCUAGGAUAGUGGACGUUACUCGCAGAAUAAGCACCGGCUAACUCUGUGCCAGCAGCCGCGGUAAUACAGAGGGUGCGAGCGUUAAUCGGAUUUACUGGGCGUAAAGCGUGCGUAGGCGGCUUCUUAAGUCGGAUGCGAAAUCCCUGAGCUUAACUUAGGAAUUGCAUUCGAUACUGGGAAGCUAGAGUAUGGGAGAGGAUGGUAGAAUUCCAGGUGUAGCGGUGAAAUGCGUAGAGAUCUGGAGGAAUACCGAUGGCGAAGGCAGCCAUCUGGCCUAAUACUGACGCUGAGGUACGAAAGCAUGGGGAGCAAACAGG
rnacentral:rRNA from 1 species